GACGAACCACCCAAACGUUAUUCGGAAUCACUGGGCUUAAAGAGUGCGUAGGCGGUCAUGUAAGUAGGGUGUGAAAUCCCACAGCUCAACUGUGGAACUGCGCUCUAAACUACAUGACUAGAGGGAUAUAGAGGUGAGCAGAACUGAUGGUGGAGCGGUGAAAUGCGUUGAUAUCAUCAGGAAUACCGGAGGCGAAGGCGGCGUCACUGGGUAUCUCUGACGCUGAGGUAGCGAAAGACUAGGGGGAGCGAACGGG
rnacentral:rRNA from 1 species